CAAUACGUUAAUUUAUUAGCUUCAUAAAUUGUAAAAAAAAAAUAAAAGUAUACGUGAAAUACUCUUUUGUUCACUAUUUUUUUUUUGUAAUGACGGCCUAAAUUAUCUACCAUUACUUAUAUACGCUGUCCCUUGUCGAAACGCAAUCUACAUUUGAGGGCUACUAGAUAGUAUUGAGCGAUAUAAACUGUUAAUCUAUGAUUAUUGCAGUAGUAUAGCUUAGCCCUGAGGACUGAUAUCGGAGGCUAGAUAGCGACUUUAACGAAUACCAUUAGAUUGUUUGCAUGCAUCUAUUUACAAUAGAAUCAACGCUUUAUUAUGUUUUGUUUGAAUGAACUUGCAACAUACUCCUUGCAUGUGUUUUCAACUUUUUCGGAUGUCCAAUCGUUUUCUCAUUUAAAUGACCCGCGGCGCUAGCAUGAGCCUACGGACGUCACUCACACUGACCGCUUGCUAGAACAUUGGAUAUGCUCUCAAUGAUGAGUAUUUAUUUUUAUUUAUUAAUUGUAUUAUAAACUAUUUCGUUAUCGUCUUUAUGGCAACUUACGUUAGGGCUAUCCAAAACUGUUUAUGUGUCUUAUCACUCAUUUGUUAUAUUAUUAUUUUUGUUAUAUAUAUUUUUUAAUAUUAAACUAAUGUAUUUUAUUAAUGUUAAAUUUUUAACAUUAAUUAUAAAGAAAACAUUAGUAAUCAGGGUAAAAUUGAUAAUGUUUAUAUGUCCUUGAUAAUUUAUGCUUAGGUUAGUGACGUUACAGUACUGAUUUUAAUACACAUCAGUUUCUCGGAUUUUUUUUUAUAUAAAUAUGUUGUCAAAAAAAACUUUAAUAAAUAUAUGGGAACUUGAUUGGCACCUCUGGUGGCAAUAUCUUUUUUUUUUAUUGUUAUAAAUAUAUAUAAUUCACUUAUUUGACACUAUAACUGCUCUAAUAAAAAACUUGUAUGCAGUGUUAUGUUAAUUGAUAAAUAAUUCUUUUUUUUUUGAGUUUUUCGAAUGUUUUUAAGUCUAUUUUGUUGUUGCAUGUAUGUAAUAUAUUUAAAUGUAUAUAUACGACAUAAAUGUCAAUAUUUUCUAUAAUUAAGAAACAAGAAAAAAUGUCAAAUAUAUCCCACUAUGUAAAAUAUAACACUAUUGACAAGUUACUUAGUUUUUUUUUUUUUACUUUUAUAAUAUUUUUUUUUAUAAAUAUAAAAAGACAAUAACUAUGUAAUUAAAUAUAUACUUUAUAUUUUAAAUAGUUAUACAUAGUCGCAUGAAAGUCCUUUUUACACAUUCCUUAAUAAGUAAAAUACUAAAUUAAUAUUUGAUUAGAAACAUACAAACAAUGUAGCUUAUAAAUAUGCAUAAAUAUUUUUUGAGACGUGAAAGCAAUAUUUAAAAAUUGUCUUACGUUUUAUGUAGUUUUCUGAAUUUUAGCGAGAACAUGAUACAGAAAGUAUUAUACUAAAGUUAAUUAACUUACAAAUCCAAUGUGAUAGUUGUCGCCAAUAUUUCGCGAAGCUGUCUCUAAUUUAUUCCAAUAUUAUUGCAUUUAAAGUGAGUUUAGUGCAAAUUCUUCAAAGGAUUCUAAUACAAUAUAUACUGCCUACUGCUAAAUUAUGAUGUAACAUUUUUUUAUGUUCAUUAGAACACAGAAAAAAAAAACUAAAGUGUGGCAUAAUGAAUGCUGCUAAUUAAUUUCUUUUUUACAUAUACGAUACAUUUUAUAAUUUUGGUUAGUAAUGAAUAUUAGGAAUACUAUUUCAACUACGAAAGCUAUUUUUUUUACCAAUGUCUUAAAUAUUAUUUUUCUGAUUUACAUACAAAUUAUUUUCUCUGUAUAAAUAAUAGUAUAAAUAGUAAAAAAAAAGUGUCUAGAUGUCCAUUAUAUGAAAUCGUUAUUUCUAGUUAAAAUACAAAAUUGUUAUUAUUCUAAACAAAUUAUUAAAUAUUAAGUCACAAAUAUAAAUUUUAUAAGUGUAAACAACGUGAAGUCUGAAAUUAACAAAAUUCUACGACUUAUAAAUAUUGAUAUUUGUAUAACACCUUAUCAGAUUUGAGUAGACAUCGCAAGUGCCUAUUUUGCUAUUACUAAAUCUACUAAAGGCUUAAUCGGAUUCUGCCUAUAUAGAUUCAGAUUCCGAAAAUCGAAAAAGCUUUCAUCACAAUUAGCGUUUUUUAAUUCGCUGAGCGAAGAAAGGAGUUUGCCAUGAAUAAAUAUUUAAUUUCAACCAACUUCUAAAAAGUUCAUUAUAUUAUAUUUUUUUGGAAUAAGCAGAAGUUAAUCCCGUUUUACGUCUCUACUUAUUUUGUCGUAAUUCAUUCUAGUUUUUGAUAGAACAAAAUCUUAAAUUAUGGUAAAAAAAAAUAUAGGUAGGUUACUUAUGUUUGAUUUUCGUCGAGAUACGUACAUUAUCAAUUAUUUAUUGAAAUUACAUCUUAAUCCUAGUAAUAAUUACCCGACUAUAGAUUUAGAGAAACAAUGAGUAUUUAAAACAACAAUUAUAAUAAUACCAGCUGCGUGUAGUCUCACAUCUAGAUGUGAAGUAGACACAGACUGUAGCUGUAUGUUUAGGAAUAUUGUGAUGAGCCAACCAAGUGGUCAUUUUCCAAGCUUUUAUUUAAAACUUUUAUAUUUAAAGAUUGUGAUUUUAUAUAAAUAUAAACCGGUUUUAUAUCAUCCGAGGUUUAGAAGCUCCAACAUUUAUUUCCACCGUCAAGUCAAAAGUCGCAUUCAUCGUUGCUUUAUCUCGUAGAUCGAAAUUUGUGAGCAUUCCGAAUUUAUUCUAUAGCCCUUUUUAAUAUUUGCAUAGGUACAAACAUGGCGUGACAUUAGCACGCGUCGUAGUAUUAAUUUGUUACCAUAUUCACAUUAUUUAAUAAUUUAAGUUAUUUAGUAUCAAAUAAGCACUGUGGGAAGGAGAUAAACAUAUUAUAAUAUCCAUUGUAGUUUUUAGAUUGUAAAAGGUUGAGUACACCAAAUGCUUGUGUGUAGCACUGGCGUGUGUGCAAAUAAAUUGUUAAAACAGUCUAAAAAUUUUAGAAGUUCCAUACUAACUUCAGAGCGUUUAAAACUUGCUUACCGAAAUGUGGCAACGUCGCAAUUCAUCAUCAUCAUCAUCAUCUCAGUCAUUAUCUAUCCACUGCUGAACAACGUCGCAAUUACAUGUCAAUUUUCAAAAAGUAAUUCAACAAUGUUCAAUUUUUCUAAUUGAUUAUUUAAAAAGUUCUCUGCUAGCGAACUAAAACGUUAAACGUGCAAUAAUCUUAUUUAGCUAUUAAUGAAAAUUUAAAUUUUGAUAGCAAAUAUAGAAACAAUGUUAAAUUUGUAUAUAAUGUAUUCUAUAAGUAAAGUUUUUUAGUUCGCUAUCAGAGCAUUUUUUAAAUAAUCAAUCGGAAAUUCUUAAUAAUUUUAAAUUGAUUUUGAAACGUGACAGAUAAUUGCGUCGAUGCCAUACUGGUAAAAAAAAGUGAUGACAUUCGUAACAGUUAAAAAUUUUAGUGGCUUUAAACCUGUAUUUCUUUGGAAAAAAUGUGCAACUUUAUUGGUAAAAUACUUCUUUAAAAAUAUGAUUAUUGAUUUUCGUUCCUACACUUUCACACGUCAUGAGUUAUUCCGUACGCAUUUGAUGUAUCACCCAUUUGCCUGCAAAGGAAACCUGUUUUAAUUAAUGUAACAAAUUCCAACUAUAGAUAAAUACUCCCGUCUUACCAUAUGAAUAGAGGAUCUAUGCUCAAUUUAACAUUUCCACAAAAUUAAUAAUAAAUAAUUAAAUUAUUAAUUUAAUUUACUACCAACGGUAAGAAUAGUUGCAAUUUUUUACGUAUCUAUUUAUAAAUUACCUUUCAUACGGUGCUUUUUUUUAUUAGAAUAGUUAUAUUUAAACUUUUUUAUUUAUUUGUUUCGUAAUAUGCCGCCCUCUCAAAGGGCCUAAUAGGAAUUAUAUUCGAAUUUCUAGAACGUGUUGCUUUUUUAAAUAUUAUAAAAUUAUAUUUUGUAAGUUAAAUGUUGUACACAUCUAAUCAGUAUUCAAACAAUGUAUGUUUGAAUUUAUUGCGUUAGUAUAAAUGUAUUUAAGUGAUAAAUAUAUUUAAAAACUUAAUAUCAUUUAAAAACAAAUGUGUUGUGAUAUUGAUUUUCUCUAUUGAUUUCUCGUGUAAAUUAUUCCAUUUUAAAUAACAUUUGUUCUCAUUCCGUCAUAUUCCCAAAAAUGUUUAUUGCUAUAAAAAAUAAUUAAUGUUUUGUUAUAUAAUUUAUAGAUGAGCAAUAUUCUUGUUACUAUUAGCGACCUAAGAGAUUGAUAUGUAAGAUAUUUAAUUUUAAUAAUAAAUAGUAUAUAAAUCAUCA